CCUACGGGUGGCAGCAGUGAGGAAUAUUGGUCAAUGGCCGGAAGGCUGAACCAGCCAAGCCGCGUGCAGGACGAAGGUGCCAAGCAUUGUAAACUUCUUUUGUCAAGGGACAAAAUCAGGCUCGAGAGCCUGAUCGAGGGUACUUGAAGAAAAAGCACCGGCUAAAUCCGUGCCAGCAGCCGCGGUAAUACGGAGGGUGCGAGCGUUAUCCGGAUUUAUUGGGUUUAAAGGGUGCGUAGGCGGACUGUUAAGUCAGCGGUAAAAUCCCGGGGCUCAACCCCGGCGAGCCGUGGAAACUGGGUGUCUUGAGAUGUCGAGAGGUAGGCGGAAUGCGCAGUGUAGCGGUGAAAUGCUUAGAUAUUGCGCAGAACUCCGAUUGCGAAGGCAGCAUACCGUCGGCGUUCUGACGCUGAGGCACGAAAGCGUGGGUAUCGAACAGGAUUAGAUACCCUUGUAGUC
rnacentral:rRNA from 1 species